GAUGAACGCUGGCGGCGUGCCUAAUACAUGCAAGUCGAGCGAACAGACGAGGAGCUUGCUCCUCUGACGUUAGCGGCGGACGGGUGAGUAACACGUGGAUAACCUACCUAUAAGACUGGGAUAACUUCGGGAAACCGGAGCUAAUACCGGAUAAUAUAUUGAACCGCAUGGUUCAAUAGUGAAAGACGGUUUUGCUGUCACUUAUAGAUGGAUCCGCUCCGCAUUGGCUAGUUGGUAAGGUAACGGCUUACCAAGGCGACGAUGCGUAGCCGACCUGAGAGGGUGAUCGGCCACGCUGGAACUGAGACACGGUCCAGACUCCUACGGGAGGCAGCAGUAGGGAAUCUUCCGCAAUGGGCGAAAGCCUGACGGAGCAACGCCGCGUGAGUGAUGAAGGUCUUCGGAUCGUAAAACUCUGUUAUUAGGGAAGAACAAAUGUGUAAGUAACUAUGCACGUCUUGACGGUACCUAAUCAGAAAGCCACGGCUAAAUACGUG
rnacentral:rRNA from 1 species